GAAAACCUUUGGCAGCAGUAACAGGUUUUAUGUAAUAUACGAAAGUAAGACAUAGGUGGGAGAAAAAAAAUCUGUCAAAUAUAAGUGCCAGCAGACGCGGUAAAACUUAAGGAUUUAUUUUUUAAUAAAAAGCAAAAAGCGUGUUAAGGAUUUUUAAAAAAAAAAAAAUAAAUAGAAUUUUUUUUCGUAAUUGUGAAAUGUUGGAAUGAAAAAAAGAAUUUUUUAUAUGAAAAUAAUUUAUUUUUUUUUUCUUAAACACGAAGGUUUUGGGAGCAAACAGGAUUAGAGACCCUGGUAGUCUAUACAGUAAAAGAAUAUCGCUUGAGUAGUACGGUCGCAAGAUUGAAAUUCAAAAGACUUGGCUGUUCGGUUGUUAAUUAGAGGAGCGCGUCGCUUAAUUCGAUAAUCCGCGAGAGACCUUACCGAAGUUUGAAUUUAUUAACAGGUGUUGCAUGGCCGUCGUCAAUUUCUGUUUGAAACAAAAAGGGGUUUAAUCCUAUCAAGGUUGAAGUCAGGUAAUAUGACCCUUAUAUUUCGGGGUUAGGCGCGCUACAUUUCUCUCUUAGAAAAGGAGGGGUUCGGAUUGUUUUUAAAAUAAGAUAAUGAAGUUGUAUUUAAUAGUAAUUGAAAAGUAGUGCGUUUCAAUGAACGUGAAAACAAUGUUAGUACAAAUAGCCCGUCGCCAGCCCAGAAAUAGGCUGUAA
rnacentral:rRNA from 1 species